UAAAUCAAGUGUAUGAUAGUUACCUCAAGGGACAAAAGUGUUCGAGGAGCCCGACGUGGGGCAGGAUCCAGCUGCGUUAAAUCUCAUGCUACGUUUUUGAUUGGCAGACACCAGCACACCACUGUGAUAUUCCUGCAACAAGGAACAUCAAGGGGUUUAAAGGAUAUUCACCUUUGAGAUCAAGGAGCCAGACUUGGGGUAGGAUACAGCUGCAUUAGCAGACGCCAUCGUGAUAUGCCUACAACAAAGAUACGGUAUCAAACGUUUGCUACUCACCUGGCACCAAAGUGCUGAAGGAGAUGGACGUAGUGAAGGCUACAGUUGCGUUGAUUGUCAGACACCACAGUGAUAUGCCUGCAACAAUGCACGUCCAGAGGUUAGAC